rnacentral:rRNA from 1 species
AUGCGCAGGAGGGAACCGGCGGCGGUGCUGCCCACGGCAGCCGUGCAAGGGAGGACGNNNNNNNNNNNNNNNNNNNNNNNNNNNNNNNNNNNNNNNNNNNNNNNNNNNNNNNNNNNNNNNGGCGGUGCUGCCCACGGCAGCCGUGCAGGGGAGGACGGCCCGAAAAACUCUUCUUGUACUGCCUCAACUGAGCUGGUCCAGUUUGAUCCACCCGAGCUAAGCUUCCCUUGGCCGAACAAGACUUCACUCUCCUCGUUUAAUAUAGUCAACAUUACAGAUUGCUACAUUGGUUUCUAUAUGUGGAGCUUCAAGGAGGUUUCUACGUGCUACGAGACAGAGACAUGUCAAGGAAUUCUGGCACCACGGUCCACUCAAAGAAUGGUUGUAAAAUGGGUACUGAAGGAGAAUGAAGCAGAAGAGCACAUGCACUGCAAAAAAAGCAUAUUUGUGUGGAACAUGAUUCUGGCUCAAGGUGUUGAAUCCAGCUGCUUCAGGGAUCACUUCAGUGACGAAGACAGCAAGGAGUUGCCCUUCAUUUUUAACAAUAAUAUAAGCCCAUUUACCUCAACCUCAGACGAGCUCAUCCGAUUGGACCAUCCUGCACGCCUCGUCUUUCCGCGAAACCACACAGGCUUGUCCUCAAUUAACAUUGUCAACGUCACCGAUUACUAUGUUGCUUUUCAUCUAUUUAGUAAUCCUGGAAAAGAUGCGGUCGUGUCCUACCAGACAGAUGAUCCAUUCGGAAUUUUGGCACCACGGUCUGCUCAAAGAGUCGUCGUAGCAAGGCUAAUAAAUGGAGAGGAAACAGAAGAUACACCAUACAAGGACGACAAGCAGUUGUUUAUGUGGAAUGCCAUUGUCAGUGAAGGCGUCAAAGUCAGUGACCUUGAUUGUUCCAUGUCUCGCAACAUAAAACAGAGUAUCGAGUUGCCCGUAAUUCUUAAUAAUAAGGUAACUUCAUCUACAUCAGUUGAGCUGAUCAAGUUUGAACCCCCUGAGGUCUGCUUCCCCUUCCUGCCGAGCAAACGUCUGUUAUCUUCAAUUAAGAUAGUCAACAUUACAGAUUAUCACAUUUGUUUCAAUACACAAGUGGAGGAAACAAAUGUGGCGUUGUACAUCACCAAGCCACCAUGUGGAAUCCUGCCGCCAUGGUCAACACAAGAACUGGUGGUAACAAGGGUGGCCAAGGAAGAGGCACCUGAACUGGAAGACAUACAGUGCAAAGAUAAAUACUUUGUGUGGAGCUGCUUUGUGACUGAAGAUAUCAACGUCAAUGACCUCACAAGAUAUAUGCCUGAAAAUGAGAGAAAGGAGUUGCCCAUAGUUUUUAUGGAGACAAGCUCAAAUAUGUUGAUUCAGUUUGAUCCUCCCGAGCUCAGCUUUCCCCUGUUGCAAAACCAGAGAGUCCUGUCCUCGGCUAAGAUAGUCAAUAUUACAGACCAGUACAUCGGUUUCAGAGUAUGCACCAAGAAAAGAAAUUCAGCAAGGUACAACGCUAAUCCAUCACAAGGAAUUUUGGAACCACUAUCCACGCAAGUAAUCCUGGUAACAAGGAUUGCAGAGCAAAAUGAACUCGAAGACAGUGAGCGCAAAACCAAGUUUUUGGUGUGGAACGGCAUUGUGAGUGAAGAUUCGAAAGCUAGCGAUGUUAUUGAUAACAUGUCCGAGACAAAGUGUACCAGGUUGCCCAUUGUUCUCAGACAGAGAAGUUCAUCUAACUUAGAUGAGUUGAUCCAAUUUGAUCCCCCGGAACUUCACUUCCCCAUUUUGCCAAACAAGAAGGUGUUGUCCUCAAUUAAGAUAGUGAACCUUACAGAUUACAAUGUUGGUUUCAAUACAUAUAGCAGGUCAACAAAUGUGGCAUGGUACCACACAGAGCCACCAAGAGGAAUCCUGCCACCACGGUCAACGCAAAAACUUAUGGUAACAAGAGAAGAAAAGGAAGAUGUAUUAGAAGAUAAGCAGUUCAAUGAAAAGUACUUUGUGUGGACAAGCAUUUUAUCUGAAGAUGUCAAAGACAACGAAUAUAGCGAUUACAUGGAUGACCAAGAGAGCAAGGAGCUGCCCAUUGUUCUUGAAAAGCCAUGA